rnacentral:rRNA from 1 species
GUUGGCGGCGUGGAUUAGGCAUGCAAGUCGAGCGGGAUUCUAUUUUUUCAAUUCUUCGGAAGAGAAGUUUUAGAUGAGAGCGGCGAACGGGUUAGUAAUAAAUGGGUAAUUUGCCCCUAAGUUCGGGAUAGCCACCGGAAACGGUGAUUAAUACCGGAUGUGAUCGACCUUCGCAUGGAGGUCUCUUUAAAGGCGGGGAAUCUUCGGAUCCUGUCGCUUAGGGAUAGGCCCAUUUCCUAUCAGCUAGUUGGUGAGGUAACGGCUCACCAAGGCUUACGGGUAGUUGGUCUGAGAGGAUGAUCAGCAACACUGGGACUGAGACACUGCCCAGACUCCUACGGGAGGCUGCAGUCGAGAAUCAUUGUCAAUGCACGAAAGUGUGAACAUGCGACGCCGCGUGGAGGAAGACGGCCUUCGGGUUGUAAACUCCUGUCAGCAGGGAAUAAAGGCAGCUUUGCUAAUAUCAGAGCUGUUUGAAGGUACCUGCAGAGGAAGUCACGGCUAACUCUGUGCCAGCAGCCGCGGUAAUACAGAGGUGGCGAACGUUGUUCGGAUUUACUGGGCGUAAAGGGUCCGCAGGCGGUCUUGUGUGUCGGAUGUGAAAGCCCACGGCUCA